AUACGGAGGGUGCAAGCGUUACUCGGAAUCACUGGGCGUAAAGCGCGCGCAGGCGGCUUGAUAAGUUGGAUGUGAAAGCCUACGGCUCAACCGUAGAACUGCAUCCAAAACUGUCAAUCUAGAGUCUGGGAGGGGAAGAUGGAAUUAGUUGUGUAGGGGUAAAAUCCGUAGAGAUAACUAGGAAUACCAAAAGCGAAGGCAAUCUUCUGGAACAUUACUGACGCUGAGGCGCGAAAGCGUGGGGAGCAAACAGGAUUAGAAACCCCAGUAGUCC
rnacentral:rRNA from 1 species